rnacentral:rRNA from 1 species
AACGAACGCUGGCGGCAUGCUUUACACAUGCAAGUCGAACGGCAGCGCGGGGGCAACCCUGGCGGCGAGUGGCGAACGGGUGAGUAAUGUAUCGGAACGUAUCCUGUAAUGGGGGAUAACCAGUCGAAAGAUUGGGUAAUACCGCAUACGCACGAGAGUGGAAAGUAGGGGAUCGCAAGACCUUACGUUAUAGGAGCGGCCGAUAUCUGAUUAGCUAGUUGGUGGGGUAAAGGCCUACCAAGGCGACGAUCAGUAGCUGGUCUGAGAGGACGACCAGCCACACUGGGACUGAGACACGGCCCAGACUCCUACGGGAGGCAGCAGUGGGGAAUUUUGGACAAUGGGCGAAAGCCUGAUCCAGCCAUGCCGCGUGCAGGAAGAAGGCCUUCGGGUUGUAAACUGCUUUAGUCUAGGAAAAAGGGGUGCGAGGUUAAUACCCUCGUGCUUUGAUGGUACUGGAAGAAUAAGCACCGGCUAACUACGUG